rnacentral:rRNA from 1 species
ACGGGGGAUUAGGGUUCAAUUCCGGAGAGGGAGCCUGAGAAACGGCUACCACAUCUAAGGAAGGCAGCAGGCGCGCAAAUUACCCAAUUCUAACAGCAUAAGAGAGGUAGUGACAAGAAAUAACAGUACAAGGCAGUUAAAAUGCUUUGUAAUUGGAAUGAUAGAAAUUUAAAUACUUUUUAAAGUAUCAAUUGGAGGGCAAGUCUGGUGCCAGCAGCCGCGGUAAUUCCAGCUCCAAUAGCGUAUAUUAAAAUUGUUGCAGUUAAAAAGCUCGUAGUUGAAUUUUUGCUAAAAAUAACCGGUCUGCUUUUAUUAAUAAAAGUGGUAUCUUGGUGUGUUUUUAGCAAUAAUGUCCUUUGAAAUGUUUUUUACUUUAUUGUAAGAAGCAAUUUUCAGGAUUUUUACUUUGAGAAAAUUAGAGUGUUUCAAGCAGGCUAACGUUUUGAAUACUGCAGCAUGGAAUAAUAAAAUAGGAUUUUAGUUCUACGUUAUUGGUUUUAAGAAUUAAAUUAAUGAUUGAUAGGAGCAGUUGGGGGCAUUUGUAUUUAACUGUC